UACGGGGGGGGCAAGCGUUGUUCGGAAUUACUGGGCGUAAAGCGCGCGUAGGCGGCCCUUCAAGUCGGGCGUGAAAGCUCCGGGCUUAACCCGGAAAUUGCGUUCGAUACUGUCGGGCUAGAGGAUGCAAGGGGUCUGUGGAAUUCAUAGUGUAGCGGUGAAAUGCGUUGAUAUUAUGGAGAACACCAAAAGCGAAGGCAACAGACUGGGGCAUUCCUGACACUGAAACAUGAAAGCGUGGGUAGCGAAUGGG
rnacentral:rRNA from 1 species